rnacentral:tRNA from 1 species
AUUUAAAUAGUUUAAUAAAAAUAUUGAUUUGUGGAGUCAAAGUUAUAGUUUAGUGUUAUUUUAAAUA